rnacentral:rRNA from 1 species
AUUGAACGCUGGCGGCAUGCCUUACACAUGCAAGUCGAACGGGAACAGGUCUUCGGAUGCUGACGAGUGGCGAACGGGUGAGUAAUACAUCGGAACGUGCCUAGUAGUGGGGGAUAACUACUCGAAAGAGUGGCUAAUACCGCAUGAGAUCUACGGAUGAAAGCAGGGGAUCGCAAGACCUUGUGCUACUAGAGCGGCCGAUGGCAGAUUAGGUAGUUGGUGGGAUAAAAGCUUACCAAGCCGACGAUCUGUAGCUGGUCUGAGAGGACGAUCAGCCACACUGGGACUGAGACACGGCCCAGACUCCAACGGGAGGCAGCAGUGGGGAAUUUUGGACAAUGGGCGCAAGCCUGAUCCAGCAAUGCCGCGUGCAGGAUGAAGGCCUUCGGGUUGUAAACUGCUUUUGGACGGAACGAAAAGCCCCGGGUUAAUACCCUGGGGUCAUGACGGUACCGUAAGAAUAAGCACCGGCUAACUACGUGCCAGCCGCCGCCGUAA